AGAACGAACGCUGGCGGCAGGCUUAACACAUGCAAGUCGAACGCGUGUAGCAAUACACGAGUGGCGCACGGGUGAGUAACGCGUGGAUAUCUGCCUUUUGGUUCGGAAUAACCCCGGGAAACUGGGGCUAAUACCGGAUGGUUCCUACGGGAUAAAGAUUUAUCGCCAAAAGAUGAGUCCGCGUCCGAUUAGCUAGUUGGUGGGGUAAUGGCCUACCAAGGCGACGAUCGGUAGCUGGUCUGAGAGGACGAUCAGCCACACUGGGACUGGGACACGGCCCAGACUCCUACGGGAGGCAGCAGUGGGGAAUAUUGGACAAUGGGGGCAACCCUGAUCCAGCCAUGCCGCGUGAGUGAUGAAGGCCUUCGGGUUGUAAAGCUCUUUUGGCGGGACGAUGAUGACGGUACCCGCAGAUAAGCCCGGCUAACUUCGUGCCAGCAGCCGC
rnacentral:rRNA from 1 species